GUAAGGUUCAUAAAUCACCUUGAGGAAUGCUUAUGAAGAACUCUUUCCAAAAAGCAUGUCCACUUUCGCCUAGUUAUCUUUCCAAUUAUAUUCGACACGCUUAAUUUUAUCAAUUCAGUUCAUAGUUUACUGAUUUGAUUUCCUGUCAUAUUCAACUGAAACAAAAAUUAUAACUUAUGAACAAAAUUGAUAAAAUUAGAAAUUUAGGAUACAAAUGAACAAAAACACAAUUUCAAACCAUUAGCUUUUCAGCUUUUCCACUUUUAUCUUGAACAAUUAUUAAGUGUACUUAUUUUGUCAUGCUUGUUCCUUUUUUUUAUCUCACAGCUGCUGUGUU
rnacentral:misc_RNA from 1 species